GCGGGAGUGCCGGAGUGGUCAAACGGGACAGGCUUAGGACCUGUUAGCUUAGUGCUUACGAGGGUUCGAAUCCUUUCUCCCGCA
rnacentral:tRNA from 1 species